rnacentral:rRNA from 1 species
CAAGGUUUCCGUAGGUGAACCUGCGGAAGGAUCAUUAUUGAAUAACUUUGGCGUGGUUGUAGCUGGCCCUCUCGGGGGCAUGUGCUCGCCCGUCAUCUUUAUAUCUCCACCUGUGCACUUUUUGUAGAUCAUCGUUUUGGAAGCUGGAUUGAAGUCGGAGAGGUCUCUCUCUGAUGAAUUGAAAGCUUUCUCAAUGGCGGUCUACGUUUUCAUAUACUCCAAUGAAUGUAACAGAAUGUAUCUAUAUGGCCUUGUGCCUAUAAAACAAUAUACAACUUUCAGCAACGGAUCUCUUGGCUCUCGCAUCGAUGAAGAACGCAGCGAAAUGCGAUAAGUAAUGUGAAUUGCAGAAUUCAGUGAAUCAUCGAAUCUUUGAACGCACCUUGCGCUCCUUGGUAUUCCGAGGAGCAUGCCUGUUUGAGUGUCAUUAAAUUCUCAACCUUACCAGCUUUUGUUAGCUUGUGUAAUGGCUUGGACUUGGGGGUUCUUUUGCCGGCUUCUUACAAAGCCAGCUCCCCUUAAAUGCAUUAGCCGGCUGCCCGCUGUGGACCGUCUAUUGGUGUGAUAAUUAUCUACGCCGUGGAUGUCUGCUAUAAUGGGUUGAAGCUGCUUCUAACCGUCUGUUCAGUCAGACAAUUAAUGACAAUUUGACCUCAAAUCAGGUAGGACUACCCGCUGAACUUAAGCA